rnacentral:lncRNA from 1 species
CCCACAUUUUGAUUUAUUCCUUUUGUAAAUACGCAGGGCAGCAAUCUCCAGGUGUAGAGAAGGUUUCAACAUCUUUGGCUGGUUUCCACGUCAGUUUGUGGCACAGUGUCAUGUGUCUGCCUGUGAGAAGAAAAAGGACUCUGUACCUGAUGUAGCCACCCUUUGCCAUCUGUGGCGGAUGCCAUGGCAAACUUCCUUAUUCAGUAUUUACUCUGACACAGGAGAAGAUAAAAGGAACACUUUUUAUAGCUUUGGCUGUAUGAAUUUGAAGAGAGUUUUUUGAGUUAUAUUUAACGCCCACGGAAGACAAAGUCAGACUUUCCAUUCACUUUAAAGGUAGGAGGACUUAUUCAUUAGUCAUUUUAGUAAAACCCAGUGAUUUUCCUGUCAGCUGUGCAGUGCUAGUGAUCCUAGACUGUUCUAAGAGAGACAUUUCAAAAGGUGUAAAAUGUUGGAAGAUGUUUGAAAGCAAAAUGUAUGUUGCAAAAUCUUAAAAAGCUACUUAGGAAAUCAUGACUUUUUAUAAAUAGGCAAGAAACUACAGGGUUACUUGUACAGAGAAUAUGGUGUAAUUUCCAAACCACUGCUUUCACUGCCAAUGAAGCAGGCUAGUAAGAUAAUAGAUUUAGAAGUAGCAAAAAUAGCUAGCAGUAAAACAGAUUUCAGAUAUCUGUAGCCUUGAGAUGAUUCAUGUGUGCUGUAAAAUUACUUGGAGGUGAGACCACUUCUCUGCUGUGAUUCCGAAGUGCCUCAGCACAAUGCACUCCUCGGUGCCUGAAACUUUAUACCAUUUUACAGUAUAAUUACUAGUGGUAAUACCUACUGAUUGCUCUUCUAAAAGAAAAAAAUCUAUGGGCAGAACAAAAUUUAUUUAUUCCAUCUGAAAUUGGUUGAGGCAGCAUAAAGACAUCUGUAUCAGCAUGUUUAUAUAGACAGUAAAAACAAAAGAGAGAAACUACUACCAGAGUUUUAUAGUUUUAUAAAUUUUACUUGGUUUGACAUCAGAUGAUAUGUCAGACUUUAAAUAUAUUUUCUUACAUAUGUAAAUAUGUGAUGGGUUGUGCCUGCUGAGGUUAAACUCUUCUUGAAGCUUUGGAAUGAAUCAAAUGUGGUUUGUAAAGUAAUAAUUUUACAGACUGAAAUAUGACAUCCAGCUGUCUAUAGGUUUUCAUUUUGUUCUGCCAAUAAGUCAGGAAACAUGGAUUAACACAAUGUAAAAGAAGAAAAAAAAAAAUCAGGAUGAUUUAAAUGUACUGAUGUAAUGUGUUUUUCUAAUGUGCA